rnacentral:lncRNA from 1 species
UUCAUCGGGUCGAUCAGCUAAAAGUCCUAAUUCUUUUAACUAGCCAGGAAUGUUGUGGAAUAAACAAACAUUAUAUUACAUUGAAAGUAUUCCAAAAAUGUAUUUUCUCGUUUUCGAUGGUAUGAGAUACUCACCCUGGGCUUAAGGAUUUUUUUUCCACUUCACCGUGAAACUAGGAGCUCAGAUGUUUUUUUCUCUAAUCGUAAAUCACGAGUAACAUCAUUUAAUUCUUUCUGGUCAAAUUCUUUAUUUUUACAAGAUGUGUCUUGAAAAACUUCAAUGUAUGGAUCAUUUCGUUUUUCAACAUUGCCUUGAUUCCUAGAGGAGAUUCAUAUGUUGGUACCGGAAUUUCAUCAGAAUGAUAGAUGGGUCUGGUUGCUGAUCACAAAUUUGGAUACACAAUAUAACUUAUAUUUUUAUUCUUAAAUCCAAAUGUCUUCACCAGAAAGAAAUAACAAUCAGAGAAAUGAUCUUUUGGUUCUCGCUAAACAAUAGUAUUACGCUCUAUGCAAGGUGCCCACGACUUAUCUUGAUGACCUAUUGGCAUUUUAAAAUUGGCCAACAAAAGAAGUUUGGAUCAUUUGAGCACGUACGUAUAGAAGUAUUAGUUGAAGACAUUUGCACAACUAAAAUGGAACUAUUCUGAUCUUAUGAAAACGAUGAAUACUUAGAGCUUAGACACUUCUAGAUCAUUUUGAAGUUUUGAUCAAGAUUUUAAAUUAUCUGUACUUUCAAUAUUUAAAAUAUUAGGAUGGAAACAUGUAUUUCUAAAUCUUCCUGAGGAAAAAAUAGUACAUUUAAUGACAAAGUAUUAAUAAUUAUUCGGUUUUCGAAUUUGCAAUACGGUAUUGUUUUUAAUAUAUCUUAGGUCAUAUGAAAGAUCAAUUCCACCUAAUAGUGCCAAAAAUGAUUGCAUUAAGGAUUUAUACAAAAAAUAUUACGUAGACACGCUUAGGACUUAUCUAAAAAAUAAAAUUAUUAUAUAUGCUACUGUUAAUUAAUCAAUAGUCGUUAAAGAGUACUCUUGCAAGUUAUAAAAAUAUCAACUCAUCUUUUAUCUCAAACAUUUAUUAGUAAUUUAUAAAAUAUGUAUGCUGAAUUGGUUAAUGUCAAGUCAUACAUCCUCUUCGAGACACUACAAUUAUAAUUGAAUAAAAUAAAAGGCUUGAUAUGA